UAAAGUGAAAGUCAGUUCCCGUCAGGCGGUGAGUCACGGAACAUCUUGAAUCGGCGCGGUCACCCUCCACCUUAAUCACAAGAGAUACACGGAAUACUGUUGAAAGCGUAGAGAGAGACAAUAUGAACACAAGGAUGCCCUCCACAGCGCUGUUUCUUCUACUGGUCUCCGCUUCAGUGGCGCCCAUACUAACCCAAGACCCAGCGUUACCAGGGCCCGAAGCUCGCCCUGACAAACACCCAGCCCAGCCCAGGGAGCCGACGAGCCAGGCCAGCGAGAAUGAGUGCUUUCCAGGGGCUUCUGAGCACAAUCUAAGCGUCCCACAGUCUAGCGCAGAUCUCUCCUACAUCACCGACUUCGGGCUGGACCUGUUCCGGGAGCUCUACCCUUACAACACAACGCAGAGGAACUUCUUUUUCUCUCCCUAUAGCGUCUGGUCCGCGCUCUCCCUGGCAUACUUCGGCUCCAUGGGACAAACUGAGCAGGAGCUGGCGUCGGUCCUUGGGCUGACGGAUAAAGUGACCGCCCUCAAGAGCUGGCGAGCGCUGGAGUUCCUGUACGCUAUGAGACAAGCCAACAAGUCCAGCUAUACGUUCAGUGUUGCCAACCGAGCCUACUUUGACCAGUCUGUGAAGCUGCGGCCUUGUAUCGAGAGCAUCUUGACCUCAGAGUUGGCAACGGUGGAUUUUACAAGGCCUGACCUCGCUGCAGAAGAGAUCAAUUCCUUCAUAUUCAAAACCACGAAGGGCAGGAUUCAGGAGCUGGUCACGCCCUCCCUCGUGGCCGGCGCAAGACUGGUAUUGACCAACGCCGCGUUCUUCAAGGGCACGUGGCUCUACCGGUUCAAGGAGUCCUCCACCUCCAAAGCCCUUUUCUACUCCACCUUCGAGGAUUUCUCUUUUGUGGAUAUGAUGCGUCAGAAAGGGAGUUUUCGAUAUGGGGUCUCAGAGGAGCUCGGUGCCAACAUACUGGAGCUCCCGUAUGAUGGAGAGGCUCUAUCCAUGUACAUUCUCCUACCUGCCUUCGUCGCUGGGGAAGACGGGUUCUCGGCGAUGGUGGAGCGUCUCAGCGGCCCCGUUCUGCACCAGGCGCUCUCCAACACCUGGCGCUCGCAAAUGGAGGUUCUGCUGCCUAAGUUUCGCCUAGAGGAGCUUCUGGAGGAGGAGAUGAUUGAGGCUCUGCGGAGGAUGGGCAUCAGAGACCUGUUUGACCCUGUGCGCGCUGACCUCUCCACCUUCACCGCGGCGGAGCAGGUCAGCGUGGGCAGGAGCGUUCACCGGGCCUUCGUGGAGGUCAGCGAGGAGGGCACAGAAGCAGCAGCAGCCACGGCCCUUAUAUCUUGGCGCGUUGCCCGCCCCGUCGCGCCCACCAAAUUUGAGGCUAACCACCCGUUCCUCUUCCUCAUCUACGACAACCUCACCCGCAAUGUGCUGUUUCUGGGCGCCUACAAGAGUCCCAAAACAUCGCAAAGUGCUUAAGAUACUGACGGGGUCGUAGGAUAGAAGUACUGUUUGUCUAUCCCUCUCUCUACGACAACCUCCCAAGAAUGUGCUGUUUCUGGACGCCUACAAGAUCCUUAGGACAUCGCAGAGUGCUUAAGAUACUGACUGGGUCGUAGGAUAGAAGUGCUGUUUGUCUAUCCCUCUCUCUACGACAACCUCCCAAGAAUGUGCUGUUUCUGGACGCCUACAAGAUCCUUAGGACAUCGCAGAGUGCUUAAGAUACUGACUGGGUCGUAGGAUAGAAGUGCUGUUUGUCUAUCCCUCUCUCUACGACAACCUCCCAAGAAUGUGCUGUUUCUGGACGCCUACAAGAGCCUUAGGACAUCGCACAGUGCUUAAGUAACUGACUGGGUCGUAGGAUAGAAGUGCUGUUUGUCUAUCUCUCUACGACAACCUCCCAAGAAUGUGCUGUUUCUGGACGCCUACAAGAGUCCCAAAACAUCGUAGAGUGCUUAAGUAACUGACUGGGUCGUAGGAUAGAAGUGCUGUUUGUCUAUCUCUCUACGACAACCUCCCAAGAAUGUCCUGUUUCUGAACGCAUACAAGAUCCUUAGGACAUCGCAGAGUGCUUAAGUUACUGACUGGGUCGUAGGAUAGAAGUGCUGUUUGUCUAUAUCUAUCUCUACGACAACCUCCCAAGAAUGUGCUGUUCCUGAGCGCCUACAAGAGUCCCAAAACAUCGCACAGUGCUUAAGUUACUGACUGGGUCGUAGGAUAGAAGUACUGUUUGUCUAUCUCUCUACGACAACCUCCCAAGAAUGUGCUGUUCCUGAACGCAUACAAGAUCCUUAGGACAUCGCAGAGUGCUUAAGUUACUGACUGGGUCGUAGGAUAGAAGUGCUGUUUGUCUAUAUCUAUCUCUACGACAACCUCCCAAGAAUGUGCUGUUUCUGGGCGCCUACAAGAGCCUUAGGACAUCGCACAGUGCUUAAGAUACUGACGGGGUUGUAAAAUAGUUGUUAUAUAUGUAUCCCUAUGUCUGUAAGUCUGUCUAUCUCUAUCUCUAUCACUCUAUCUACGACAACCUCCCAGAAUGUGCUGUUCCUGGGUGCCUACAAGAACCCUGAGACAUCCCACGGAGCCUUAAGUAACUGGGGGAGAUGUAGAAUUAGAUUUGCUGUUUGUCUUUAUGUAUCCGCGUAUUGGUUGAUGUGUCUGCCUGUCUGUCUGUGUAUUUAUUAAAAGUGUAUUGAGGUAAA